UACGUAGGAGGCAAGCGUUGUCCGGAAUUACUGGGCGUAAAGCGCGUGUAGGUGGUGGGACAAGUCUGCUGUGAAAGCGCCUGGCUUAACCGGGCGAGGUCGGCGGAAACUGUCCGACUAGAGGACGGUAGAGGGGGGUGGAAUUCCCGGUGUAGUGGUGAAAUGCGUAGAGAUCGGGAGGAACACCUGUGGCGAAGGCGGCCCCCUGGGCCGGCCCUGACACUGAGACGCGAAGGCG
rnacentral:rRNA from 1 species